UGGAGUUUUUCUAAACUGGAAGGCAAUCCCCUUUGUAGAGCAGAUCUGCUGUCCUUUAUGUAAACAGCUUCACUUUUUGUUGGCUGUCUCUGACAUCUUCUGUGCAGAAAGCCUUCUUUGGAGGUCUUUAAAGGGAACUCCCCUGAUGUCUCCUGGCGUAAAUGGUGCAGGUGAGGCUCAACCACUUGUCACCCAAGCCCUAGUCUCUUGCUGUUGGAGUUACCUUGUCCAAUGUGCAGCCAUCUCAGGAGUCUGGCAAGAUAGCUUAAUUACUAGCAACUGUGUACUGAGUCCAGUUGACCCCUGGAAAUUUAACUUACCCUUGCUACAGGGGCUGAGGCAGCUCCCUAUAAUUACACACAGUAUUUUUGCAGCAAAAGAUAGGUAUAUCUACACACUUAGUGAGUCAGUGUUGCCCUCAUAUGUCAGUUCAGGUCUGUUGUUUUCUUUAUGGGAACUGAUUCUCAACUGCCCUCCACCCUACCCCCAUCCCAUGGGAAUUUUGUUAAUUGGCCAUCCAGUGAUCCAAUUCCCCUGGUAUGUGAACUUGACCCAGCUUGGCCAGAGUACCCCCUACCCUGGAUCUGGUGAUUGGUCCAGAGUGGGCACAUAGCAUAAACUGGAACAAAUUAUAUUUUCCUCCCAGGGAUUGACAUGGAGGCUCAGAAAGAGAUCACCUUGCUUUUGAGAUUAAAAGCUCUAAGGAUUUUUUAAGUGUAAUAUCAUCAGAUGCCAUUUUCUUCCUGCCAAGAGACAGAACCUGGCAGAGGAUGAAACAACUGAACACAGAGCUGUGAGCUAUUAAUCUCUGAUGAGUCUCAACACUUACAUGCAGCCUACCUUAGACUGUAACAUACAUGCUCUACAUCUUUGAGUUAUAGGAACUAAUAAAUACCUUUCUCCUAAGCUGACUUGAAUUGGGUUUCUGUCAUAAUCAUGAUUACAGUUGUAAUUUUAUUUGUAAAUUUAUCAACUUUAUACAGUCUUUCUUAUGAAAGGUAAGGAUUUAAAUCAUCCCACUGAGUUAUAUUAGCUCCUCUGAUGUGUUUUAACUUGAAAUACAGCUAACCUACAUUUCUUAUUCUAUCGCCUUUAGACAUCUCCUGAAUCCCCUCUAUAUACAGUGAGCAUAUUUCCCCUUAUUCUUGCUUCAAGCUCUUAUUUCCUUGUCAACCUCCCACCAUCCAGUCUAUAUCAGCUAUAUUUUGCCUUUACAUUAUUAGGUAGAUAUUAGAUAUGUAGAUAUAUAUACACAUAGAGACUUCAGUGAUUUGUCUAUUUUAAAGUUGGAAAUAAAAUAGCAUUAGAUCGUUAUCACCACGUAAAUAUUAUUCUCUGAAGAGUCAGAGCCAAGCAAUGUGUGACGAUUACAUUUUCUGCUCUACAAGUCCAAUGUUAUGAUCCCAGUACCCACUUAAAGGAAUCUAUUCCUUGUAUCAGUCAUAUGGACUUUUUUUUCAUAUUCUAGUUAUUUUCCAAAGUCAUGUCACAUUUUAUGGGGACUUGCUUUAUAUUAGGACCAUAAUAUCUGGUAUGGCUUCUCCUUUUUUUUUUUUUCCAGAGCCAGUAAUUGUUUUUCUUUCCUUCUGACGAACUUUUGUCUUCACCAUUAUUACUAAAAUCCUCAAACUUUGUAUUAAUUCUAUUUAAUGUAACUCACCCCUUUCAUUCUUAAGUUCCUCUUCACUGACUCCCUGGAUAUCUAGCCUACCAGUAAUUUGGUCUGAUUCUUGCAGGGUGAUCAUCCUAUUCAGCCUCAGCACCACUUAACUGGGUUAGAUCCACUGUUUAAAGCCUUUCCUGUUUUUUACCUUUUCCAUCCAAAUUUUGCUGAAGCUAAUCAUUCAAUACCCUAUUAAAAGACAGUGGGAGUAAACUGAAGUAAACUGGUAAUACAAAAUAUCAGUACUUGGCCUCAUGCUUAAUUACUGUUUGGGUAUAAAGUUCUAGAUUCAAAGCAGUUUUAACUCACAAGUUGGAAGGUGCUGUUCUGUAUUCUACAAUCUAAUAUUGCUCAUCAGAGGGAAGGCUAAUGCUAUCUUGAUCAUUAUUCUUUAUCAGGAGAAAUUUCCAUAUUUUGAAAGCUUUUAGGAUGGCCUCGUCUUUAGUAUUAUGAAAUUUCACAAGCGUAUUUCUGGGUGUCUUUUGUUUCUAUUGUAAUUGUACUUUUUGCCACUUCAGCCUGCCCAACAUUGAGUGAGCUAGUCCUAGCUGAGUGUUCAUAAUUUUCUUCAGUUUAGAAAGAUUCUUAAUCACUUAUUUGAUACAUUCCUAUUAUAUUUUCUCCAUUAAUUUUUUUUCUGGAACUCAUAUUAAUUAGAUGUUAGACCUUCUGAACUUCCAGGUCCCUUUUGUUUCUCAUUUAACUUUUCAAUUUAUGAACUUGAAGAGUUUCCACAAUUUUCUUUCAAACCUUCUAUUACAGCAAUAAUGUUUUUUCAUCCUUAGGAUCUGUCUUAUUCCUGUUUUUGGUAGCUUCCCAUAUUUGCUUUAAAAGUGCAAUAUCUAUUCAAAUCUCAGACUAACAUAAAUUUUUAUUUUCUUCUCAUUAUAUAACUUUCCCUACUCUGGUUUAGUCUCUCUCUUGGUCCUUAUUAUGCUUGUACUUUUCUUCAUCUGUGAUGAUCCUUAGCUGUCUGUUCACGCUUAAUAAUGAUAGGGUUUGAUUAUCUUAGGUAGAUAGCAGGAGGUUCUUUGGUUAUUCUCAUUGUAGAUCUGUUUCCCUGAAUGAAAAGGUUUACUGGGAUCUCUGCCUGCAUGGCAAAGGCUGGUGAGUUGAUGGGAAAUUCUCCAAAUUCCAAAAAAGGUUUCAACUUAGGCUGCCAACUCUCACUCUAGCUGCUCUAGUUCUCCGUGAGUUUGUUGAAUUUUUUCAUAGUUUAAGUUUUUAAAAUUUUAACAUUCUUAUUUAAAACUUCAAACAUUACAGAUAAUGGUAAAUCUACCCUCUUGACCAGAAUGUCCAAUUCUAGUUCCCUCCCCCAAAGAAACACUUAUCAGUUGGAUGUGUCUGUUCAGGACUUUUUCUAAGUAUUUGCAUAGUUAUAUAAAUGUAUUAUAAAUAUAUUUUAAAUAUACUCUAUUAUUCUGAAAAUUUUCCAUUUUCAAUCAGUGUCUUUUAGUCAAAUCCAUACCAAUAUUACAAGUCCAUUUUUUUAAACUGGUGCUAGUAUUUCUAGUCAUGCCUCUAUUGAUGGAAAUUUAGACUGUUCCCAGUUUCAUGUACUGUGCUGGCCUCCAAAGGGGUUAUAGUGAGCAUUUUUAAAACUUCAGUGCUUCCAAAUUAGCACUGAUGAGAGUAUUUAUUUCUCUACACAACUACCAAGUUUUUUUAUUAUUGUAGAUUACUUAAAUUUGCAUCUCUCAAUACUAGCAAGGUUAAGCAGGGACUCAUAUUUAUGGUCCAUCUGUAUUUCUUCUGACUUGCACAUUCUUGUCCUUUGUUCAUUUUUAUUCUUACUUGGUUGUCCUUUACCUAUUUAUAGGUACUCUUACAUCUUUCCCUUUGUAUUAUAUUACAAUUUUUUCCCAUUCUGUUUCUUAUCUUUGUCUUUUUAAAAGCAUUCUCACGUUUGAUUUAAUCAACUUCAUUAUGGCUUUCAUUUUUGUCUAAUUUACGAAUAUAUGUCCAACAGCAAAGUCAUAAGCAUAUGGUACUAUAUUUUCUUCUAAUACUUUACUAUUUACUUUAACAUUUAGGAUUUUAUUCAACUGGAACUAAUUUUUGUGAAUGCUGUGAAGGAAGGAUCCGUUUCAAUUUACUUACAGAAGAGAGGGUGGAGUGGGAAAGCUGUUGGCAGGGGUACUAACAUAACUUUCACAUAAAAAAUCAUUAACUGUCUUGUCAUCGUGUCUCCUUAUUACCCAGCCUCUACAGAAGCCAACUCAAAGCAUGAACUUUUCUAGGGACCCUUUGGACAGACUGACUCCCUUUACUGAAAUCCCUGUCAUGCCAACAUUUCAGUUUUGGAAUUACAGCUUAGAAGCUUAACAACUUUUCUAUUUAAAUGACAUGUGUUUAAUACAAUUCAUCUACCUGGAAUUAAGAGAGAAAAGAAGAAGUUCUAAAGCACAAAUUGGUGAACGAACUACAUAAGAAGUUCAAGGAUUUAACAGCUAUUAAAUGCAGUCUAAUAAUGAGAUUAUAGAGAAUGAGAAUGAAGGAAAAUUUAUUAAGAAAAUAAAUCAUGCAUAACUAAAGGUAAUUAUCAGAAAAUCAUAAUAAUCUUUUUAUAUAUAUAUUAAUAUAACAGUCUGCAAACACCCUUCCUCUCUUGCUGCUAGUUAUCCUGCAUUCAAGCUAAGUUCAUUACCUUUAAAAAACCAAUUUCAUGUCAGUGUGGCUAAAUAAACUCCCAGUACCAUUAAUUGCCAUAGGCUGUAAAUAAAACUCUAUGGUUAAACUUUUGCAGCCUGGAAGUGGUCUUCCUGAGUAUCAUUUUCUGUGUGAUAUGUUCCAACCAAAUGUAAGUUUUCAGUUGAUACUCAAGCUAAGAUGCCUUCAUAUAGAAGUAAUUUUGUAUAAAAUUUCUUGGUUUUAUUAACCUGCCAUUGGCCUUAAUUUGCCUUACCCUUUUCAUUCCCAAAUCAAAUCACCUAUUAUUCUGUUCAAGACUUUCCAAUGGUUUCUCACCUUAUUUAUAGUAAAACCAAAAUUCCUAUUAUGAUUUACAAAAGCAAUGUAGCACAUGAACAUAAAUGUAAAGCCUAUAUAAAAUUAUGGCAAAUAAAAUCCAGGAACAUAUGAAAGCAUAAUCAUAACCAAGUGGAGUUUGUCCCACGAAUGCAAGGUUGGUUUAAUAUAUGAAAAUCAAUGUAAUUCACCACAUUAACAGAUUAAAUUCAA